GUGCCAGCAGCCGCGGUAAUACGGAGGGUGCGAGCGUUAAUCGGAAUUACUGGGCGUAAAGCGUGCGUAGGCGGUUAGUUAAGUCAGAUGUGAAAGCCCCGGGCUUAACCUGGGAACGGCAUUUGAUACUGGCUAACUUGAGUUUAGGAGAGGAGAGUGGAAUUUCCGGUGUAGCGGUGAAAUGCGUAGAGAUCGGAAGGAACACCAGUGGCGAAGGCGGCUCUCUGGCCUAAAACUGACGCUGAGGUACGAAAGCGUGGGUAGCAAACAGGAUUAGAUACCCUGGUAGUCCACGCCGUAAACGAUGUCAACUAGCCGUUGGGUCUUUAUUGAGACUUAGUGGUGCAGCUAACGCAUUAAGUUGACCGCCUGGGGAGUACGGCCGCAAGGUUAAAACUCAAAUGAAUUGACG
rnacentral:rRNA from 1 species